rnacentral:misc_RNA from 1 species
GAUGAAGAACGCAGCGAAAUGCGAUACGUAAUGUGAAUUGCAAAUUCAGUGAAUCAUCGAGUCUUUGAACGCACAUUGCGCCCCCUGGUAUUCCGGGGGGCAUGCCUGUCCGAGCGUCAUUGCUGCCCUCAAGCCCGGCUUGUGUGUUGGGCCCCGUCCCCCGAUCUCCGGGGGACGGGCCCGAAAGGCAGCGGCGGCACCGCGUCCGGUCCUCGAGCGUAUGGGGCUUUGUCACCCGCUCUGUAGGCCCGGCCGGCGCUUGCCGAUCAACCCAAAUUUUUAUCCAGGUUGACCUCGGAUCAAGUAGGGAUACCCGCUGAACUUAAGCAUAUCAAUAAGCGGAGGA